GGAAGAGACCUUUGGUCUGUCAGCUCCAACCCCCUCCCCACGUAACAACACACGCACACUCCUCUAGCCGCUGAGGUGCAGGAGAUCUCUCUGCUGGAAGCAAGACAGGGUCCCCUGUCAUCUCUGUGCCCUGCACAGCAGAUUGGGCCUGCUCACACACAUUAGAGAUCCAUUUCCAGCCCAUCCUGGCCCCUGCCAUAAAUUGCCUUCCCGAAAGAGCCACUGGAGGCUUUGGUCCCUCAGCAUCUGCGACCUUUUAAUAAAGGGGCUUCCCUGAGCCCUGGGAGCCUGAAAGCCUCCUGGGGAAUGAACUGCCUUGGCCACAGCAGCUCUCUUCCCCGCCCUUUGGGGCAUGAGACGCCAUUGUACCGCCAGGACUUGGAGGCUGGCUCUGGGCAAUCUGCUCGAGCCUCAUGUCCUCUUGGUUUUAGGUCUUUGGAAAAUUCUUCUCCGUCGGGCAGAGAAGAUCCUUCGUGCAGACAGCUUUGCUGGCCAUCCACGACCCCCUGCUGCGUGUCAGCCAGGCUGGGCUGGUGCUCGUCUACUCCCUCCUGGGGGAAGCCCAGCAACUGAUGGGGGACACGCACGAGGAUGUCACAGCCAAGGUCAUGUGCCAGCUUCACAUGAUUCGGCACUUGCACCAGAUGCCCGAGGCGCUGCAAGGGCUGUGGCUCAUCUGACGCUCUUCAAGGUUCCCCUCCCUGUUCAGCAAGUCCUGCUCCCUGCUGCAGGUACUGCUCUGUCUCACUGUAAAUGCCAGGCUAGUGGAAGCGGAAAUGGAGGCCCUGGCAUUCACAGAAACUCUCUCCCCUCUCUGUGGAGCUGUGUCCUUCCCUUGGCCCCCCAAAUUCCUUCAUCUGGGGCAGGAGCUCUUUCCCUCACACCCAUAUCCCUCCCCUCUUUCCUUGAUCUCACCCCCAUCCCAUUCCCCGUGCUCCCAGGCAGAGAUCUUCCUGCCCCAUAUGGCGCAGAAGGACCUUUGGGUCAGGGCUACAGACUGCGUGCCCAACUGAAGCUCAGGAAGCUCCACAUUUGAAGAGGCCCUGGGGUGUGUGACAGCCUCCCAGAUGGGUGCAGUCAGAAGCUGAACCACCUUAGGGAGCAGUGGGGACAGGUCCCUUGUCCGAGGAAGCCAAGCAGUGGUAGUUCUCAAAGAGGCUGAGAGGGAAGACCCUGCUCCCUCUUGGAGGUAAGAGCCAUUGACUUCUUUGGGCAUCUGGGUUUCUUGGGGGAGAAAUGGGAUCCCUGCUGCAUAGCCUGGCUGGGAGCUUCCCCCAUCCCUGGGACAGAGACAUCUCCAUCAAUGUGCCACCCUUGUUUUUUUCCAAGCAAGAGGCUCCCCAGAGAACUCCUCCUCAAACCUCUUCUCCUGGCAGGGUUUCUGGGAGGAGGCUCCCGUCCCUCAGUCUCCAACUCCAUCAUGCAGUCUCUUUCACCUAACAUCUCCGCCCUCCAGCUCCACUUCCCGCAGCAGGACAAACGGACCUUCAGCUCCUAGAGAACAGACUCUGACCUCCUUCUGAUC